AAACCGGAGCUAAUACCGGAUAAUAUAUUGAACCGCAUGGUUCAAUAGUGAAAGACGGUUUUGCUGUCACUUAUAGAUGGAUCCGCGCCGCAUUAGCUAGUUGGUAAGGUAACGGCUUACCAAGGCAACGAUGCGUAGCCGACCUGAGAGGGUGAUCGGCCACACUGGAACUGAGACACGGUCCAGACUCCUACGGGAGGCAGCAGUU
rnacentral:rRNA from 1 species